rnacentral:misc_RNA from 1 species
CAAGUGACCCCGGUCUAACCACCGGGAUGUUCAUAACCCUUUGUUGUCCGACUCUGUUGCCCUCCGGGGCGACCCUGCCUUCGGGCGGGGGCUCCGGGUGGACACUCCAAACUCUUGCGUAACUUUGCAGUCUGAGUAAACUUAAUUAAUAAAUUA